rnacentral:rRNA from 1 species
GGGCGUAAGAGCUCGUAGGUGGUUUGUCGCGUUGUUCGUGAAAACUCACAACUCAAUUGUGGGCGUGCGGGCGAUACGGGCAGACUGGAGUACUGCAGGGGAGACUGGAAUUCCUGGUGUAGCGGUGGAAUGCGCAGAUAUCAGGAGGAACACCGGUGGCGAAGGCGGGUCUCUGGGCAGUAACUGACGCUGAGGAGCGAAAGCGUGGGGAGCGAACAGGAUUAGAUACCCUGGUAGUCCACGCCGUAAACGGUGGGUACUAGGUGUGGGUUUCCUUCCUUGGGAUCCGUGCCGUAGCUAACGCAUUAAGUACCCCGCCUGGGGAGUACGGCCGCAAGGCUAAAACUCAAAGGAAUUGACGGGGGCCCGCACAAGCGGCGGAGCAUGUGGAUUAAUUCGAUGCAACGCGAAGAACCUUACCUGGGUUUGACAUGCACAGGACGCUGGUAGAGAUAUCAGUUCCCUUGUGGCCUGUGUGCAGGUGGUGCAUGGCUGUCGUUAGCUCGUGUCGUGAGAUGUUGGGUUAAGUCCCGCAACGAGCGCAACCCCUAUCUUAUGUUGCCAGCGCGUCAUGGCGGGGACUCGUAAGAGACUGCCGGGGUCAACUCGGAGGAAGGUGGGGGAUGACGUCAAGUCAUCAUGCCCCUUAUGUCCAGGGCUUCACACGUGCUACAAUGGCCGGUACAGAGGGCUGCGAAUCCGUAAAGGUGGAGCGAAUCCCUUCAAAGCCGGUCUCAGUUCGGAUCGGGGUCUGCAACUCGACCCCGUGAAGUCGGAGUCGCUAGUAAUCGCAGAUCAGCAACGCUGCGGUGAAUACGUUCCCGGUCUGCACACACCGCCCGUC